UACGGGGGGAGCAAGCGUUGUUCGGAUUUACUGGGCGUAAAGGGCGCGUAGGCGGUCGUGACAAGUCACUUGUGAAAUCUCCGGGCUUAACUCGGAACGGUCAAGUGAUACUGUCGGACUAGAGUACAGAAGGGGCAACUGGAAUUCUCGGUGUAGCGGUGAAAUGCGUAGAUAUCGGGAGGAACACCGGUGGCGAAGGCGGUUCUCUGGGCCUUACCUGACGCCGAGGAGCGAAAGCGUGGGGAGCGAACAGG
rnacentral:rRNA from 1 species